GUACAGAACCCUGUGGAACUCCGUGACUAACUUUGGCGUGCAUGGAGGACUCAUCGUUAACAUGUACAAACUGAGAUCGAUCUGAUAAAUAGGACUUAAACCAACUUAGUGCAGUUCCUUUAAUGCUGAUUAAAUGUUCCAGUCUCUGUAAUAGGAUGAGAUGGUUAAUGGUGUCGAAAGCAGUACUAAGAUCUAACAAGACAAGUACAGAGACAAGUCCUUUGUCCGAUGCAAUUAGUAGGUCAUUUGUAAUUUUCACUAGUGAUAUCUCUGUGCUAUGGUGCACUCUAAAUCCCUACACUGACUGAUAAUCCUCCAAUAAAUGAUUGUUCUGUAGAAAGUCA